GUGGUGGUGAGUUUGCCAAGACCGAGGUCAACCCUGCAGGAACUGGGGGUCCAGUGGAGGAGGAGGACAGCUCUGUGUGGGUGAAGACGGCAUUCAAAGCAGCACAAACCUAUGAGUCUCUUUUCGUUUCCCACCUGCAUGCAUAAUUUAGCAGCCGUCUACGGGUAUGUGGGGGGAGUUUCUCAACCUUUUCACACUAUUAUUACUGGAAGUUGAGUUUCCCAAACCCACACUUCAUACCAAUCUUCAUAAGAAAAGUCCUGAUUUAUUCAUGCCCAGUGUUUUCCUUAUUUUUCAUCACAAAAAUGAAAUAAAAUGUGCAAAAAGUUGAAAUAAUUCUUCCCGAAAGUUCUAUUGAUCUAGCUUGAAAUAAUUAUAGCUAAACCUAGCA
ensembl:lncRNA